rnacentral:rRNA from 1 species
CCUACGGGAGGCAGCAGUGAGGAAUAUUGGUCAAUGGCCGGAAGGCUGAACCAGCCAAGCCGCGUGAAGGACGAAGGUGCCAAGCAUUGUAAACUUCUUUUGUCAAGGGACAAAAUCAGGCUCGAGAGCCUGACCGAGGGUACUUGAAGAAAAAGCAUCGGCUAACUCCGUGCCAGCAGCCGCGGUAAUACGGAGGAUGCGAGCGUUAUCCGGUUUUAUUGGGUUAAAGGGGGGCGUAGGUGGACUGUAAAUUCAGCGGGAAAAGCCCGGGGCUCAACCCCGGCGAGCCGUUGAAACUGGCUGUCUUGAGAUGUGGAGAGGUAUGCGGAAUGCGCAGUGUAGCGGUGAAAUGCUUAGAUAUUGCGCAGAACUCCGAUUGCGAAGGCAGCAUACCGGCGGCGAUCUGACGCUGAGGCACGAAAGCGUGGGUAUCGAACAGGAUUAGAUACCCCAGUAGUC